CCAGCACUGGACCAGCGAGAUGGCCAUGCGAUGGUUGAGAGCACGCACUAUGGAAUGGGCCACGUGUUGAUGCACGAAAAACCGAUACCUUGGCCAUCCCAUCGCCAUCCCGCCGCGCCAUAAGCCAUCCGAUACCACUACCAUCUCUACACGCUGGCCCAUCUUAGUGGGGCAGUAUGAUGGUCCAUCGUGUAGAGGAGCCAU